GUGAGGAAUAUUGGUCAAUGGACGGAAGUCUGAACCAGCCAUGCCGCGUGCAGGAAUAAGGUCCUAUGGAUUGUAAACUGCUUUUAUUCGGGAAUAAACCUCUUUACGUGUAGGGAGCUGAAGGUACCGAAGGAAUAAGCACCGGCUAACUCGGUGCCAGCAGCCGCGGUAAUACGGAGGGUGCAAGCGUUAUCCGGAACCAUUGGGUUUAAAGGGUCCGCAGGCGGGCUAUCAUGUCAGAGGUGAAAUCCCACAGCAUAACUGUGGAACUGCCUUUGAAACUGAUUGUCUUGAAUUAAGUGGGCGUUGGCGGAAUAUGACAUGUAGCGGUGAAAUGCAUAGAUAUGUCAUGGAACACCGAAAGCGAAGGCAGCUAACGAUACUUUUAUUGACGCUCAUGGACGAAAGCGUGGGUAGCGAACAGGAUUAGAUACCCCUGUAGUCC
rnacentral:rRNA from 1 species